UACAGAGGUCUCAAGCGUUGUUCGGAUUCAUUGGGCGUAAAGGGUGCGUAGGUGGCGCGCUAAGUCAGGUGUGAAAUUUCGGAGCUUAACUCCGAAACUGCAUUUGAUACUGGCGUGCUUGAGGACUGGAGAGGAGACUGGAAUUCAUGGUGUAGCAGUGAAAUGCGCAGAUAUCAGGAGGAACACCGGUGGCGAAGGCGGGUCUCUGGGCCGAUACUGACGCUGAGGAGCGAAAGCGUGGGGAGCGAACAGG
rnacentral:rRNA from 1 species